rnacentral:rRNA from 1 species
GAGUUUGAUCAUGGCUCAGAUUGAACGCUGGCGGCAUGCCUUACACAUGCAAGUCGAACGGCAGCAUGAUCUAGCUUGCUAGAUUGAUGGCGAGUGGCGAACGGGUGAGUAAUACAUCGGAACGUGCCCUGUAGUGGGGGAUAACUAGUCGAAAGAUUAGCUAAUACCGCAUACGACCUGAGGGUGAAAGUGGGGGACCACAAGGCCUCAUGCUAUAGGAGCGGCCGAUGUCUGAUUAGCUAGUUGGUGGGGUAAAGGCCCACCAAGGCGACGAUCAGUAGCUGGUCUGAGAGGACGAUCAGCCACACUGGGACUGAGACACGGCCCAGACUCCUACGGGAGGCAGCAGUGGGGAAUUUUGGACAAUGGGCGAAAGCCUGAUCCAGCAAUGCCGCGUGUGUGAAGAAGGCCUCGGUU